rnacentral:rRNA from 1 species
CCUACGGGUGGCAGCAGUAGGGAAUUUUCGGCAAUGGGGGGAACCCUGAUCGAGCAACGCCGCGUGCAGGAAGAAGGAAUUCGUUCUGUAAACUUCUGUUAUAAAGGAAGAAAGCCGGAUGGAGGAAAUGACAUCCGAGUGACGGUACUUUAUGAGAAAGCCACGGCUAACUACGUGCCAGCAGCCGCGGUAAUACGUAGGUGGCAAGCGUUAUCCGGAAUUAUUGGGCGUAAAGCUGUAGCAGGCGGCAGCAAAGGUCUGUGGUAAAAGACUGAGUCUAAACUUCGGUAAGCCAUAGAUACCGGGCAGCUAGAGUGAAGGAGAGGAUCGUGGAAUUCCAUGUGUAGCGGUGAAAUGCGUAGAUAGAUGGAGGAACACCAGUGGCGAAGGCGACGAACUGGCCUGCAACUGACGCUCAGGCCCGAAAGCGUGGGGAGCAAAUAGGAUUAGAUACCCUUGUAGUC